AGAAGUAAAGUGAGCGACUACAUUUGCCACUACUCAAGUUCAUAUGGAGUUCAUAUGGUCUAUUGUGUAAUUAAUGUGGAGCUGUACCCCAUGACUUGUUAAGUAUAAAGAGUUACAAUGCUGAAACAAGGAAAUUCUGCAGCGUCUGGUUUAGCCAUCAGGGUGUUGCCAAGCCAUUUCUGUGUUGCUUGAAGAUAAUGGCAUGCUAUUGUAAAACACUUAUAUUACAUAUAUGUGUAGCUCUGCUCCCAGUUGUUAUAUAACAACAGUUAUAUAACAACAGUUCUGUUAGAUUUUGGAGGGGCUGUGCAACACACAGCUUUCCCCAGCCCCCAGCCCUUCAUCAUUUGACACAGAAGUUACUGCAAAUGCAAUUACUGCACCUUAAUUACUGCAAUAAAUAUGUCCCUGUCUACUAGCAUGGCCUACUCUACUCUAUUUGUAUGCUUCAGAGUUACACCAGGCACCUGCUAUUUACAAAAUUUUGCAUAACUGUAAGUUACACAGAAGCCAAGCCUGAAUCAUUACAUUACAUAGGUUCUUUUAGUGCAUGUAUAUCAUUACUGUGAUGUCUGCAACAUACAGUCUAGAUGUCUGUGCUUUAAUAACAUGAUUCUUCUGAAAGCACUGGUCAGAGAAAUAUUUUACUUUGUUGGAGAGUGGGAAACUGUUGGGAGGCAGUGAAAAUCUGUUAAUAGUUGAAUGAUCUAUCCUCCAGCUUCACUGCAUAGUUGGCUGAGUUGAAGCAGAGUCAUAGCACUGUGUUACAUGGCCAGUGAGACCAGUUAGCCCAGUUUGUAGUGCCACUUCACCUGGAUAUGAGAUUUCAAUUUGAGAAUGGAAAGGCAGAAGGGCAGUAUCUCUGGCUGUAUCAAUAGAAUGAAGAAACUUCCCAUGUCCUCUUAUUGGACCACAGAUUACAGUGACUGUCUUUGGUUAACCAGCACCACAGCCGAGCGAACACUGAGCAAUGUGCUUACUGGUAAAGCUCUAUCAAGUAACAGUUCUAACUGUUCUUUGGUUCGGCCAGUGCAAGAAAGGAGGAUGGUGGAAGAGAAUAGCUGGCCAAAGACACCUGCCACACUUUGUGAAAUGAAAAUAAUCUCUGUGCAGUUAUACUGAUGCCCGUGUUAUUAAGCUCACUUACCUGAGACUGCAAUUAGGGUGCAUGUUAAUUUAUGUAAAUGUGGAAACUUCACCGAUAGUAGGGGAAAGCCUCACUUUGCAGUGAAAGAAAGCUAGAACUAAGCUGUACGUGGCUGAGAGAAGACCACAGAACAGGAUGGUGAGGCACUUGUUCUUAAUUUUGAACAGCCCACACGAUUUGCUUUUUGAAAUUGAAAAAAAAAAUAAAAAAAUCAAGCACAUAAAGCAACCAUUGGUAACUACUGAGUGUAAGGGUACCUUACAAACAUUUUGAUAUAUAUCAGUAAACAUAAGGGGAUCCUGAGAUUUCAAAGUUAACUUUUUGGGUGCAGGCAAUUAUUACAAACUACAGGAAGAAAAGUCAGAGUUAACAUCUCAUUUAAGUGUAUUAAUAUGCAUGGUAUGUGUGUGAACAACUGCUUCCUGGUGAUAGCAGUGAUGCUCUGCUGGAUGAUCCUGCAUCUCAGUCAGGUUCUUGCAGUUUUGCUGCAACGUAAGACCUUCGCCCUUUCUCCUUAACCAUGACUUCAGCCUUGUUUUCUCUGUUGUAUUUCACCUUGGCAGAUAUUUGGUGGCCAUUGGCAGAAUCACUGGAAGAAAUCAACUGCAACAAAAUUAUAGAAGCCAGCUUGAACCAAACAAGGGUUGUAACAGCAUAUGGAAAUAAACCUGUACAAUUUUAGGAAAGAGCUUGGUCCGGUUCCCUUUGAAAUCAGUCUGCCACCAGGAAGAGACCAUGAGCAAUUAGCGUUUAAGAAGUUCCCCAGUUAUUGCAUCAUGGACACUAGGACUCCUCUCCCUUCUUAUCUACCCAAAUUUUCUUGACAAAACAGGUAAGGCCAACUAAGUUUUAACUACUAUUGAAUAAUUACUAUGUACUGGAUUUUUUUUUUCCUUUUUCAACAUAGCAGGCCAUAACUUUUGAGAUUAUUUCAUUAAAAAUUCUUGUUUGCUGUCCCCAACAAACAAAGAUUAAGUGGGCUUUGAACCUAUUUGCAUCACGGUUAAAAGCAUAUGGGAAUUUGACUAGGGAAUUUUAAUAGUGUUAUGAUACUAGGAACUACAUGGAGUGAAACCUACUGCAAUUAAAAAUAUAUUCAGGUUAUAAAUAUCAUUUGAUGUGUAGUUUAAGUAAAACACUGCCAUGACUUUUCCAUUGUUGACUAAAGUGCGAGGUUAGCAUUUUUGCUGUUUGAGACGAUCAUAACUUUCCCUUCUUGUCAACAUGACAAAUAAUCAACAUCUUCUUUAUUCCAGCAAAGUGCUUAUGCAUUUAUGUCAUCCAAAGAAUGCAAGUUCCAUCAAAUUAAACUAUUUACAUUCUUAAGGAACUACACAUGUGAAAGUGCUUUACAAGAUUGGACUGCAGUAAUUACUUUUGAUCUCUGCUAUCUUAAAGGAAGACGGAAAGUCUCUAACCCCCAUCCAUUCCAGCAAAGUACCCAAUAAACUACCAGCACCCUGCUUUUGAACCUCUUUCUGUUUUCUGCUAUUUCUCUGCUAGAAACAAGUUCUUAGUCUCAAAGAAAGCAGGAAUAAAUCAGAUCAAAGCCCUUGUUGUCCUGUUACAUUAGACUUAAACUCUGUCACUGUCAUAAAUUAUUACAUGUCCUCAUCUGCAGCAGUGUUCACUCUAUGCAAAAGAUUGCAUUCAAGCUUUUAGAAUAGUCAAUAUUACAAGAAUCUGCAAUAAAAUUGUUGAGGAAAUGGGGACAGUGGUAGCUUCUGUACCCUUUAACUCAUUGCAACACAGCAUGAUUAAAGACAAGCUUAAGUGUAGAGACAGUUGUGCCUUUAUGGAAGGUUCAAGGAAGUUGCUCUACACUUACAUGCCUAAGGGGUCUAUUAAAUAAGAUUAAUACUAACGUUUUUAUACUAACUCAAGACCAUUACAGGAUUAUUCUUUGCCUAAGGAGAGCAUUGCAAUCCUCCCACUACUCUGUAGCAUACUGUAUGAUAAGACCCAACACAUGAAAACAAAGACAAAUGAGAUGACAGCUUUUAACUAUCCAUAUUAAUCAGUAAAAUCAGGGUGCCACAGACAGGCUAUGUUAGGCAUGACUUCAGCACAGUAGCUUAGUUUCUAUUUAUCAUCCUGAUGAGGGACUUGGCUUAAAUUCUUUGAGCCCUAACAAGUUUUAAAAUGUCAUGUAGAUUGGAAAGGGUUACCAAGAAAGUAGAUAUAUAACCCUUCUGCUCUAAAAAUUUAAUCACUGUAAAAGAAUUAGGUGAGGCCAGAAGAACUUGUUUGGCUGCAAAGUAUCAUCAACACUGCUUGUCUUGGUAGAUGAAAUCUUUCAUUAGAGCAGGAAUGUACACAAUAGCACAACAACCUUUGUCAGUGGCCUGACCUUUUCAGGCUUGUUUCUUUCUUCAGCUGAAAAGGCACUAGGUAGUUUUGACUUCUACAUUAUUUUAGUUGUGUGGCUCUACACUUUUAGGGGGCCUGUAUGUUCUUUACCCUUUGGUUAACUAAUAUGGUGUCCUACCAAUGACAUGUAAGAAUGGGACAGUUAAA